ACAAGCAGCAAGAACGCUGCAGAAAUCGAGUUGCUGUGCCGAGUUUUUCUGUGAGCAGGAAUCCUUAGUGUGGGUGCCAGCGAUGAGCCGAACGUUUGAAGGGUGCGAGAGCUCCGGGUAAACCCACGUUUGGGAUGCCCCGAUGUGGCUGAGACGCCUCAAGCGCACGGAUAAGUAUUUUCUCUUGUGAUUCUGUGCUUUGCGUCCCAGGCUCUCUCCUGCGUCAGCACAGGCCAGUUGUGGAUUCACUGACAGGAGCUGAGCCCCCCUUCCCAGCCGGGUACCCCAUCCUGGGCGCUCGGUUCCCGCUCCGCUCUGGGGCAGGCGCGCGGGGCAGCCGGGGGCGAGCGGUCCCUUUCCCUCUCCCCCCCGGUGCGGGACCCGCCGUGGGUGCCCGGCUGGGACCCGGUGACCUCCCCGGUGGGUUUGGGCACCGACCCUCUGGGGUCCGGGGCAGCAGCUACAGCUCGGCCUGUGGGGCUGGGGGUCCCCGGCAGCUCCGCAUUUCGGCCGCGGGAUCAAGGCCUGCUCAAAGUAUGAACUGGCAGCGGCUGUACGGGCUCCACAGGCCGGACUCCCGCCCGGUCCAGUCCCCGACAAGAGGGGCUCCUGUCCGCCUCCGAACCCGCCGCAGAGGGGCCGCAGCCGUGGAGAAGCCGCGGAGGGGCCUUCGCACAGCCGCCAGUGGACCUCGCACGCCUGCCCGCAGCCCGGGGGACGGACGGACAGACGAGCCCCAGCCACGCCGGGAGCGGAGCCCCAGGAAGAAGCUGAGCUGCCUGCGCCUGCCCGGGGACUGUGCGGCUCCAGGUCAGUGUGGUUUCGGGUCGGUUGUUUGGGCCCCCAUUUGUUUUUGUUAG
rnacentral:lncRNA from 1 species